rfam:Brachypodium distachyon strain Bd21 chromosome 2, whole genome shotgun sequence.
AAACUACUCCCUCCGUCUCAUAUUAAGUGACUCACUAUUACAUGUAUCUACGUUUUUUUUUAGGCAUAGAUACAUUCAUAUUUGGACAAAUUUGAGUCACUUAAUAUGAGACUGAGGGAGUAUUUG